GAGGAAUAUUGGUCAAUGGGCGAGAGCCUGAACCAGCCAAGUAGCGUGCAGGAUGACGGCCCUAUGGGUUGUAAACCGCUUUUGUAUGGGGAUAAAGUCAAUCACGUGUGAUUGUUUGCAGGUACCAUACGAAUAAGGACCGGCUAAUUCCGUGCCAGCAGCCGCGGUAAUACGGAAGGUCCGGGCGUUAUCCGGAUUUAUUGGGUUUAAAGGGAGCGUAGGCUGGAGAUUAAGUGUGUUGUGAAAUGUAGACGCUCAACGUCUGACUUGCAGCGCAUACUGGUUUCCUUGAGUACGCACAACGUUGGCGGAAUUCGUCGUGUAGCGGUGAAAUGCUUAGAUAUGACGAAGAACUCCGAUUGCGAAGGCAGCUGACGGGAGCGCAACUGACGCUGAAGCUCGAAGGUGCGGGUAUCGAACAGGAUUAGAUACCCUGGUAGUCCGCACAGUAAACGAUGGAUGCCCGCUGUUGGUACCUGGUAUCAGCGGCUAAGCGAAAGCAUUAAGCAUCCCACCUGGGGAGUACGCCGGCAACGGUG
rnacentral:rRNA from 1 species